rnacentral:pre_miRNA from 1 species
AGUAGCUAUUUAGUGUGAUAAUGGCGUUUGAUAGUUUGGACACAAACACCAUUGUCACACUCCACAGCUCUGC